rnacentral:rRNA from 1 species
CGCGAAGAACCUUACCAACUCUUGACAUCCCCCUGACCGGUACAGAGAUGUGCCUUCCCCUUCGGGGGCAGGGGUGACAGGUGGUGCAUGGUUGUCGUCAGCUCGUGUCGUGAGAUGUUGGGUUAAGUCCCGCAACGAGCGCAACCCUUGUCCUUAGUUGCCAGCAUUCAGUUGGGCACUCUAAGGAGACUGCCGGUGACAAACCGGAGGAAGGUGGGGAUGACGUCAAAUCAUCAUGCCCCUUAUGAGUUGGGCUACACACGUGCUACAAUGGACGGUACAAAGGGCAGCGAAGCCGCGAGGUGGAGCCAAUCCCAGAAAGCCGUUCUCAGUUCGGAUUGCAGGCCGCAACUCGCCUGCAUGAAGUCGGAAUCGCUAGUAAUCGCAGGUCAGCAUACUGCGGUGAAUACGUUCCCGGGUCUUGUACACACCGCCCGUCACACCACGAGAGUUUGCAACACCCGAAGCCGGUGAGUAAC